AAAUCGGAUUAUACUCCAUAAUACUGCGAGAAGGCAUCUUUUUUCAGUUAAAGCUUCGGCGGUCAGAGAUGGGCAUGCGUAACAUUAGCUGGUUGGUGAGGUAACAGCUCACCAAGGCUACGAUGUUUAGGGGGUCUGAGAGGAUGGUCCCCCACACUGGUACUGAGACACGGACCAGAGUCCUACGGGAGGCAGCAGUGAGGAAUAUUGGUCAAUGGGCGAAAGCCUGAACCAGCCAUGCCGCGUGAAGGAUGACGGCCCUAUGGGUUGUAAACUUCUUUUAUACGGGAAGAAACCCCUCUACGUGUAGGGGGCUGACGGUACCGUACGAAUAAGCAUCGGCUAACUCCGUGCCAGCAGCCGCGGUAAUACGGAGGAUGCAAGCGUUAUCCGGAUUUAUUGGGUUUAAAGGGUGCGUAGGCGGAAAAUUAAGUCAGUGGUGAAAUCCUGCAGCUUAACUGUAGAAUUGUCAUUGAUACUGGUUUUCUUGAAUACAGUUGAGGUAGGCGGAAUGAGUAAUGUAGCGGUGAAAUGCUUAGAUAUUACUCAGAACACCAAUUGCGAAGGCAGCUUACUAAACUGUGAUUGACGCUGAGGCACGAAAGCGUGGGGAGCGAACAGGAUUAGAUACCCUGGUAGUCCACGCCGUAAACGAUGAUCACUCGUUGUUGGCAAUACACCGUCAGCGACUGAGCGAAAGUAUUAAGUGAUCCACCUGGGGAGUACGAUUGCAAGAUUGAAACUCAAAGGAAUUGACGGGGGCCCGCACAAGCGGAGGAACAUGUGGUUUAAUUCGAUGAUACGCGAGGAACCUUACCUGGGCUUAAAUGCAUAACGACGGAUCGGGAAACUGGUCUUUCUUCGGACGGAAUGCAAGGUGCUGCAUGGCUGUCGUCAGCUCGUGCCGUGAGGUGUCGGGUUAAGUCCCAUAACGAGCGCAACCCUCAUCAUUAGUUGCCAGCGGGUAAUGCCGGGGACUCUAAUGAAACUGCCGGUGUAAACCGAGAGGAAGGCGAGGAUGACGUCAAGUCAGCACGGCCCUUAUGUCCAGGGCUACACACGUGUUACAAUGGUCAGUACAAAGGGCAGCUACCAGGCAACUGGAUGCUAAUCUCAAAAGCUGGUCACAGUUCGGAUCGGAGUCUGCAACUCGACUUCGUGAAGUUGGAUUCGCUAGUAAUCGCGCAUCAGCCAUGGCGCGGUGAUACGUUCCCGGGCAUGUACACACCGCCCGUCAAGCCAUGGAAGCCGGGGUACCUGAAGUUGUACCGAGAGGAUCGACCUA
rnacentral:rRNA from 1 species